GCAAGGUUAAAACUCAAAGGAAUUGACGGGGACCCGCACAAGCGGUGGAUGAUGUGGAUUAAUUCGAUGCAACGCGAAAAACCUUACCUACCCUUGACAUGCCAGGAACUUGCCAGAGAUGGCUUGGUGCCCGAAAGGGAGCCUGGACACAGGUGCUGCAUGGCUGUCGUCAGCUCGUGUCGUGAGAUGUUGGGUUAAGUCCCGCAACGAGCGCAACCCUUGUCGUUAAUUGCCAUCAUUUGGUUGGGCACUUUAACGAGACUGCCGGUGACAAACCGGAGGAAGGUGGGGAUGACGUCAAGUCCUCAUGGCCCUUAUGGGUAGGGCUUCACACGUCAUACAAUGGUCGGUACAGAGGGUUGCCAAGCCGCGAGGCGGAGCCAAUCCCAGAAAGCCGAUCGUAGUCCGGAUUGCAGGCUGCAACUCGCCUGCAUGAAGUCGGAAUCGCUAGUAAUCGCGGAUCAGCAUGUCGCGGUGAAUACGUUCCCGGGUCUUGUACACACC
rnacentral:rRNA from 1 species